UACGGGGGGAGCAAGCGUUGUUCGGAUUUACUGGGCGUAAAGGGCGCGUAGGCGGCCUCCGCAAGUCAGUUGUGAAAUCUCCGGGCUUAACCCGGAAAGGUCAAUCGAUACUGCAGGGCUAGAGUGCAGAAGGGGCAACUGGAAUUCUCGGUGUAGCGGUGAAAUGCGUAGAUAUCGAGAGGAACACCUGCGGCGAAGGCGGGUUGCUGGGCUGACACUGACGCUGAAGCGCGAAAGCUAGGGGAGCGAACGGG
rnacentral:rRNA from 1 species